rnacentral:rRNA from 1 species
UGAACGCUGGCGGCGUGCUUAACACAUGCAAGUCGAACGAAGAUGCCGGAGUGCUUGCACUUUGGCAGACUGAGUGGCGGACGGGUGAGUAACGCGUGGGUAACCUGCCUUAUACAGGGGGAUAACAGUUGGAAACGACUGCUAAUACCGCAUAAGCGCACGGUAUCGCAUGAUACAGUGUGAAAAACUCCGGUGGUAUAAGAUGGACCCGCGUCUGAUUAGCUUGUUGGUGAGGUAACGGCCCACCAAGGCGACGAUCAGUAGCCGGCCUGAGAGGGUGAACGGCCACAUUGGGACUGAGACACGGCCCAAACUCCUACGGGAGGCAGCAGUGGGGAAUAUUGCACAAUGGGGGAAACCCUGAUGCAGCGACGCCGCGUGAGUGAUGAAGUAUUUCGGUAUGUAAAGCUCUAUCAGCAGGGAAGAUAAUGACGGUACCUGACUAAGAAGCACCGGCUAAAUACGUG